GCUUCCAUAGCUCAGUGGACAAGAGCGCUGGUCUCCGAAACCAAGAGGUCGCGAGUUCGAUCCUCGCUGGAGUCG
rnacentral:tRNA from 1 species